UACAGAGGUCUCAAGCGUUGUUCGGAUUCAUUGGGCGUAAAGGGUGCGUAGGCGGCGCGGUAAGUCGGGUGUGAAAUUUCGAGGCUUAACUUCGAAACUGCAUUCGAUACUGCCGUGCUUGAGGACUGGAGAGGAGACUGGAAUUUACGGUGUAGCGGUGAAAUGCGUAGAUAUCGUAAGGAAGACCAGUGGCGAAGGCGGGUCUCUGGACAGUUCCUGACGCUGAGGCACGAAGGCCCAGGGGAGCAAACGGG
rnacentral:rRNA from 1 species